CAGCUCACAAGGUCAGGCAGCGGCAGCUGCUAGUGUUUGCAAAAGCAUCAAAUCAAAUUCAAAUCACGAGAAAAAGAUCUAAAUGGUGUCGUACGUCAGUGCCUUGCUCUACGGAGUGGGCGGCAUAGUGGCGGCAGGGAUGGCGCUGCUCGGGGCCUUCCAAGAGAGGUUAGUUUAUGUGCCGGUCUUGCCCGGUCUCACCAAGUCCUACCCCAUAACUCCCGCCCGCCUCCGACUCGCUUACGAGGACGUCUGGCUCAGAUCCUCAGAUGGCAUCCGCCUCCACGCUUGGUUCAUUAAGCUCUUUCCUGAAUGCC
rnacentral:misc_RNA from 1 species